GAUGUUCAUUACAGACGGAAUGGGAGAAAGCUUCUGCUGCUAGGCACGACAGACUGCUUUUGGAAGAGCUGGAGUGUUCCAUGUGUCUUCUGUGAGGGGUGGAUCGUGGAGCCAGACAUGUAAGAGGACAGUUAAGGACUUCAACAGUCCUAAGUGCAGGGCAAGGAGACAGAUGCAUCUGGGAUUCCCAGUUUCAUGAAGCCAGCGCAGGAUGGUUGCAUCGCUCCACUGCAGUCUAAGCUCAUGUGCCCAUGUGAAUGCAGCCCCUGACCCCAUCAGCUGCCCUCUUGGGGGUACUGGACCUCUCAAACAUCUUGCGGAUUGUAAUCUUGUCAUCUUCUUCUCCUCCACUUCUCAGAGGUAAUCUUCCUCAAGCAGGUAGCUGGCCCCUCCCUGACUUGUAGGUCUUUUGCUAUUGUGUAGACAUGAAAAGGGCUCCCUACCUAUUCUCUGUGGCAGUCAUGGGCUCCUGCUUUGACUCCCAUGCUCCAGAUGCUGGAAGAGAACACCAUUCUCUCUACUGGAGACUGGAUCUGGCCUGAGUCUCCCCUUCAGCACCAUGGCCUGGUUAUGCCAAUGCCUUCUCUGAAAAGUCAGGGCAAUUUAACAUUAGAAUAAUGCAGAAAUGGAGAGGUUAAGCUUGACUACAAAAUAGAACAGUUGCCAGAGGUCCUGGAGAAAUCCUAAGAGGUUAAACCCUUUCCCAAGCUGUCCAUCCUAAAUCCUCCCUGUUAGGACUUAACCUGUCGCCAUCACUAAAACCUCCUUCCUCUGACCUCCAACAACAGUGGGGACUCCCACAACCUUCUUCGCUAGGCCCACCUCCUCCCCUCUGAGUUCUGACCCACAGAGAGCCGCAGAGUCAGACUGCCUUGGGGAUUCAGAAGGCACCGUCAGAUUCCCUUCUUCCCCACCACGUCUGCAGCAGUUUUGUGAGGGAGGCUGUGAGAUUUCACACCACACAAUGGACUGGCGGGAGUAUUUUUUUCCCCACCCCUUUGACAUCUGCAUGUGCUUUCUUUCAUAUGGCCUGGGUUGGACCAGACUCACUAACAUGUCUGCAAGGGCCAACACUCCCUCAGGGACCCAACAGCAUGAGGGCUGGAUUCAUCAGGCAGCUUGUUUGAUUUGGCCAGUGUGGAGUUGUAAACAUGGUGGACACCCUCUUUCCAGGUCCCUCUGGUAGGCUCCCAUGGGCUCCUGGUCCCUCCCUUGUUCAUUUUAUUCACCUGGAUCCCAAAAUCAUUUGAGUUUGCAAUUAAGUGAAAGAGAAAAUGAUGCCUACCUGCCUCCUGAUUUUUAAGAUUCCUCCCUUCAGUCAAGUGCAAGUUAUACACAGUAGGUAUUUUCCCCUUUCCGUCCCUGUUGGGAUUGUGCACAAUCAAAGAAUGAUGACUUGCUUCAUGG
rnacentral:lncRNA from 1 species